GAAAAGUGGAGCUGCACCUGACAAAGAUGAAGCACAGCGUGAAUUUCCACAAUACACACUGCCGCAGUUGCCGAUUGACAUUGCCCUGCAUCUCCGAAAUGUGAAAGCAGGAGAUGUGCCGGACAACCUCAGGAAAAAGAUAAUUGAAUGGCUUUCAUUUAAUCUGUCUUCGCAGACAAUGUACCCAAAUAAGUUGUACAAGGUUGCUGCAGUGAGCCUUGUAAACGCCUACCCACAGCUAAGAGAUAGCUCAGACUCUGGCCACAUCUCCUGGUACAUGUGCCUUAGAAAUAAGUACAAGAACAUGCGCAAGCGAAUGCCUCCAGGAUGCCCGGAAGUAGAUGCUCAAAAAGAGAAAUUCAAAGCAAGGAAGUUGGGCAAAAGCUCUGUCGCUUCCUCUAAA
rnacentral:lncRNA from 1 species